AUUGAACGCUGGCGGCAGGCCUAACACAUGCAAGUCGAACGGUAACAGGAAACAGCUUGCUGUUUCGCUGACGAGUGGCGGGCGGGUGAGUAAUGUCUGGGAAACUGCCUGAUGGAGGGGGAUAACUACUGGAAACGGUAGCUAAUACCGCAUAACGUCGCAAGACCAAAGAGGGGGACCUUCGGGCCUCUUGCCAUCGGAUGUGCCCAGAUGGGAUUAGCUUGUUGGUGGGGUAACGGCUCACCAAGGCGACGAUCCCUAGCUGGUCUGAGAGGAUGACCAGCCACACUGGAACUGAGACACGGUCCAGACUCCUACGGGAGGCAGCAGUGGGGAAUAUUGCACAAUGGGCGCAAGCCUGAUGCAGCCAUGCCGCGUGUAUGAAGAAGGCCUUCGGGUUGUAAAGUACUUUCAGCGGGGAGGAAGGGAGUAAAGUUAAUACCUUUGCUCAUUGACGUUACCCGCAGAAGAAGCACCGGCUAACUCCGUG
rnacentral:rRNA from 1 species